UACGUAGGGUCCGAGCGUUAAUCGGAAUUACUGGGCGUAAAGCGUGCGCAGGCGGUUGUGCAAGACAGAUGUGAAAUCCCCGGGCUCAACCUGGGAAUUGCAUUUGUGACUGCACGGCUAGAGUGUGUCAGAGGGGGGUAGAAUUCCACGUGUAGCAGUGAAAAUGCGUAGAGAUGUGGAGGAAUACCGAUGGCGAAGGCAGCCCCCUGGGAUAACACUGACGCUCAUGCACGAAAGCGUGGGGAGCAAACAGG
rnacentral:rRNA from 1 species